rnacentral:rRNA from 1 species
GGGCAACCCUCGCGUGAUGUCAGCAAUACCUAGGUAACCCUUGAAUAAACUACCCUUGUUGCUUUGGCGGGCCGCCGUCUCGGCCAGCGGCUUCGGCUGCUGCGCGCCCGCCAGAGGACCACAACUCUUGUUUUUAGUGAUGUCUGAGUACUAUAUAAUAGUUAAAACUUUCAACAACGGAUCUCUUGGUUCUGGCAUCGAUGAAGAACGCAGCGAAAUGCGAUAAGUAAUGUGAAUUGCAGAAUUCAGUGAAUCAUCGAAUCUUUGAACGCACAUUGCGCCCUUUGGUAUUCCGAAGGGCAUGCCUGUUCGAGCGUCAUUAUAACCACUCAAGCUCUCGCUUGGUAUUGGGGUGCGCGGUUCCGCGGCCUCUAAAGUCAGUGGCGGUGCCUGUCGGCUCUACGCGUAGUAAUACUCCUCGCGUCUGGGUCCGGUAGGUUGCUUGCCAACAACCCCCAAUUUUUUACAGGUUGACCUCGGAUCAGGUAGGGAUACCCGCUGAACUUAAGCAUAUCAA